rnacentral:lncRNA from 1 species
CAUCAAAACCCCCGACCCCCAGCACCUCACAGUUCACAGCUGCACAGAGACGUGCACAUAGCAGCCAUUCCAGCCGGUGCCCGGCUCCCCACUCCCCUUCUGAGGGAGAAGGCAUCUUGGCCCUGAUUGUGGGACCAGCAAUUAGAGUUUAUUUGCUUUGCUAUUCAGCCAAGCCCUGGAAUGAAUUUGGCCACCACAGACAGCCUUUGGGGUCCAGCUCCUCAGGGACUUUGAGACACAGAAGAAGCCCCCCAUUGGGUUUUUCUUAUUUACACUGUCCUGGGGGAGGUGUCUAAUCGCUGGCUACAGAGGAGGGGCUGCUUCAGCCCCAGGUGUACUUGAACCGGGCUGUGUUCCCCUUGCAGUUAGGUCCUGAUUCACCCAUUGAAGGACAAUAAGGGCCUUGUCCCUUAAUGGAGGGCCCUUGAUCAAAUCUAAGAGGUGCUGGAAUGUUGGAGAAGGUCCCCGCCUUGGUCUAAGGUCCCCAUCCCAGAUCCUGUCACUGAGGGGCUCUCACCCCCGUCCCACCCCUGCCCCAGCAGGCAGGAGCCUCCUGGGAGGUAGGAAGCAGCAGCCUUGUGGGAGCAGACCCUCCAGACCCUCAAAGACCACCCCAGGCAUGUGGCUUCAGCACCCAUGCCCAGCAUCCACUUCCGGCCUGGGGCCCCGAAACAUAGGGAUUCCUGGAAGAGUUGUCUGGUCCUAGGUCAUUCCCUCCCAUCGUCUUCUAGAAACAGCUUCAGGGGUAGAUGCUGCAUCCACCCUACCAAGCCAGCCUAGGCAGAAUGCAGAAGGUGCCUGCUGCACACAGCUUCUUCUCCCAGGCUCCGCCCUCCACAGACUCCUUCAGGAUCCCCAGGUUUAUGUCUUCCCCGCCCCUCAGUCUCCACAUGGACCACAAGCAGGCUGUGUCGUGGAAAAACCAGGGCUUGGGAGUCAGAAAGACCUGAAUUCAAAUUCUGGCUGUGUUACUUCCCAACUAUGUAAGCUUGGGCAACUUUCUCACCUUCUCUGAGCCUCAAUAUCUUUAUCAGUAAAGUGGGGAUAAUAACACCUCUUCCCUCACAAGUGAUCGUGUGGACAAAACGACGCCAAGUCAGGGCUCUGAUGAAAAUUCCUUUCCAAUCACACCCAGUGCAAUUAUUCUGGGGUCAUUUCCCCUUCAUUCUUAGACCGGCGCAAUUGGACUUCCUUGCUUAUACCAGUGGAAUCUGGUGGGAGGUCUCUGUACCUGAGUGACCUGCCACUAAGACUAGGGAACCCUACAUUCCUCAACUCCAUUUGCCCCACCUUGGGGAGAAGGUAGCUGGACCUGCCAGGUAGCCGGACACCACUUUUCCUUGGCUUGAGUCCCUGGGACAGAGCUUUCCGCAGGCCCUCAGGACACAAUGCUGUGUGACCUUCAGGGGGCAUUUCCUGCUGUGGCCGAGUGUCCCUGGGAUCCAGAGGAGAGAUGGGUAGCAUGGUCAUGGCUAAAGAUUUUAUUCCAAGCAAGCCAGGCUGGUCACGACCCAG